rnacentral:rRNA from 2 species
AAAUUGAAGAGUUUGAUCAUGGCUCAGAUUGAACGCUGGCGGCAGGCCUAACACAUGCAAGUCGAACGGUAGCACAGAGAGCUUGCUCUCGGGUGACGAGUGGCGGACGGGUGAGUAAUGUCUGGGAAACUGCCUGAUGGAGGGGGAUAACUACUGGAAACGGUAGCUAAUACCGCAUAACGUCGCAAGACCAAAGAGGGGGACCUUCGGGCCUCUUGCCAUCAGAUGUGCCCAGAUGGGAUUAGCUAGUAGGUGGGGUAACGGCUCACCUAGGCGACGAUCCCUAGCUGGUCUGAGAGGAUGACCAGCCACACUGGAACUGAGACACGGUCCAGACUCCUACGGGAGGCAGCAGUGGGGAAUAUUGCACAAUGGGCGCAAGCCUGAUGCAGCCAUGCCGCGUGUAUGAAGAAGGCCUUCGGGUUGUAAAGUACUUUCAGCGGGGAGGAAGGUGUUGCGGUUAAUAACCGCAGCAAUUGACGUUACCCGCAGAAGAAGCACCGGCUAACUCCGUGCCAGCAGCCGCGGUAAUACGGAGGGUGCAAGCGUUAAUCGGAAUUACUGGGCGUAAAGCGCACGCAGGCGGUCUGUCAAGUCGGAUGUGAAAUCCCCGGGCUCAACCUGGGAACUGCAUUCGAAACUGGCAGGCUAGAGUCUUGUAGAGGGGGGUAGAAUUCCAGGUGUAGCGGUGAAAUGCGUAGAGAUCUGGAGGAAUACCGGUGGCGAAGGCGGCCCCCUGGACAAAGACUGACGCUCAGGUGCGAAAGCGUGGGGAGCAAACAGGAUUAGAUACCCUGGUAGUCCACGCCGUAAACGAUGUCGACUUGGAGGUUGUGCCCUUGAGGCGUGGCUUCCGGAGCUAACGCGUUAAGUCGACCGCCUGGGGAGUACGGCCGCAAGGUUAAAACUCAAAUGAAUUGACGGGGGCCCGCACAAGCGGUGGAGCAUGUGGUUUAAUUCGAUGCAACGCGAAGAACCUUACCUACUCUUGACAUCCAGAGAACUUAGCAGAGAUGCUUUGGUGCCUUCGGGAACUCUGAGACAGGUGCUGCAUGGCUGUCGUCAGCUCGUGUUGUGAAAUGUUGGGUUAAGUCCCGCAACGAGCGCAACCCUUAUCCUUUGUUGCCAGCGGUCCGGCCGGGAACUCAAAGGAGACUGCCAGUGAUAAACUGGAGGAAGGUGGGGAUGACGUCAAGUCAUCAUGGCCCUUACGAGUAGGGCUACACACGUGCUACAAUGGCGCAUACAAAGAGAAGCGAACUCGCGAGAGCAAGCGGACCUCAUAAAGUGCGUCGUAGUCCGGAUUGGAGUCUGCAACUCGACUCCAUGAAGUCGGAAUCGCUAGUAAUCGUAGAUCAGAAUGCUACGGUGAAUACGUUCCCGGGCCUUGUACACACCGCCCGUCACACCAUGGGAGUGGGUUGCAAAAGAAGUAGGUAGCUUAACCUUCGGGAGGGCGCUUACCACUUUGUGAUUCAUGACUGGGGUGAAGUCGUAACAAGGUAACCGUAGGGGAACCUGCGGUUGGAUCACCUCCUUA